CAAGGUUUAAAAGCCAGCAUGUUUAAUGAUUAAUUUGCCCUGGCAUUCGCAGCUCUCCUGGAUAUACUCCCAAAGCCUUUGCAAAAGGUUUCUGGGGAGGGCAGCCUUAUUCCAUCCACUGUGGCAGGACACUUUACUGCACCAGGCCAGUAGCACAUAGUCGGGAAUCAUUGCAGAACAAAGCAUUGCAGUGUAUGUUUGCUGGCGUUCAAACAACAUCCAUUCUUUAUCUGUGUUAUCCUCAGGAGAGUGAUA